rnacentral:rRNA from 1 species
AUUGAACGCUGGCGGAAUGCUUUACACAUGCAAGUCGAGCGGCAGCGCGGGGCAACCUGGCGGCGAGCGGCGAACGGGUGAGUAAUACAUCGGAACGUACCCAGUUGUGGGGGAUAGCCCGGCGAAAGCCGGAUUAAUACCGCAUACGACCUGAGGGUGAAAGGGGGGGAUCGCAAGACCUCUCGCAGUUGGAGCGGCCGAUGGCGGAUUAGCUAGUUGGUGGGGUAAAGGCCUACCAAGGCGACGAUCCGUAGCGGGUCUGAGAGGACGACCCGCCACACUGGAACUGAGACACGGUCCAGACUCCUACGGGAGGCAGCAGUGGGGAAUUUUGGACAAUGGGGGCAACCCUGAUCCAGCCAUUCCGCGUGAGUGAAGAAGGCCUUCGGGUUGUAAAGCUCUUUCGGCAGGAACGAAACGGUCUUUUCUAAUACAAGAGGCUAAUGACGGUACCUGAAGAAGAAGCACCGGCUAACUACGUGCCAGCCGCCGCCGUAAAAC